GGGUGCGAUCAUACCAGCACUAAUGCACCGGAUCCCAUCAGAACUCCGAAGUUAAGCGUGCUUGGGGGAGAUAGUACUAGGAUGGGUGACCCCCUGGGAAGUCCUCAUGUUGCACCCC
rnacentral:rRNA from 1 species